rnacentral:rRNA from 1 species
GUAGGGGGCAAGCGUUGUCCGGAUUUAUUGGGCGUAAAGAGCGUGUAGGCGGCCAGGUAGGUCGGUUGUGAAAACUAGAGGCUUAACCUCUAGACGUCGACCGAAACCAUCUGGCUAGAGUCCGGAAGAGGAGAGUGGAAUUCCUGGUGUAGCGGUGAAAUGCGCAGAUAUCAGGAAGAACACCCGUGGCGAAAGCGGCUCUCUGGGACGGUACUGACGCUGAGACGCGAAAGCGUGGGGAGCGAACAGGAUUAGAUACCCUGCUAGUCCACGCCGUAAACGAUGGGUGCUAGGUGUGGGAGGUGUCGACUCCUCCCGUGCCGCAGCUAACGCAUUAAGCACCCCGCCUGGGGAGUACGGCCGCAAGGCUA